UCUCACCCAGUGAGAUGCUAAACACAGAACAAGCAAUGCAAUUUUUCCUGACCAUCACCUGCAGGAUUGGCAGCGUGUCCCUUGUUGGUCACUGUCACAGCCAUCAGUCUGGAGGUGACUCUGGCAUGUGCUUCCUCAGCCACCAUGAACUCCUUGAGCUUUGUCAGAUGAGGAUGAUCUUCAUGCCUUGGCUCUGCAAUUUUUAAAGAGUGGAGCGAGCGCCACUCAGCACAGGGUAAGCUUACACUGCCUGACCUCAUUUCAUCCGGCCUCUUCCCUGCAGCACAAGAGCUCCCGAUGGCACAUCAGGUAUUAAGGGAACCGGGGUGGUUCACCUGAACUGCACUGAAGGAGUCUGGAAUAAGAAAUCAACCCAGAUUUAAGGCAGCCUUCAGUGUUUGUGUACAGAUUGAACUGAUUUAUCGUGCGUGUUCUGUGUGGAGUUGCAAAACCUCGCUAUAUUAGUGAUUUAAAAAGAGGAACAAUUUGGUUUGUCAUUACUAAUAGGGAUGUAACUAAAUUAGUCUCCCACAUAUUUUAUGCUGAUGAGGUCUUGCUUAGAUUUCCCUUUGUAGAUUUACAUCCUCACUAGCUUUAAUCACAGCUAAGAAACAUAUUGUAUGAGUAAUACUAUUAUGAAAUACUGAAGUAUUUUCAGAGGGGCUUAGAAACCCAAAAAAAUCAUAGAAGUCAAAAUCAAAGGUAAGCUUUAACAUUCAGCCCUAUGUUGUACAUUUGAUUAAAUAUUAAUUCACAGCAAUGUGUUGGGUACUUAGAACCAAGCUCUCUUGACCCAUUUGAAAUGCACAGUCACGUAUAUAAACUUGGCAUUUGAAAAAGGACAGGUCAAUGCUGUAGAUCUCACUUAAAUAUUUUCAACAGUUCUUGCUUAAUUAGUGGUCUAACCCCACUCAUAUAAGUGGUUGACUUGCUCACAGUUGUGGAACUAGGAAAAUAUUGCUGUAAUACAGACUUUUAAAAAUUAUAGUCUCUCUCUUCAAUACUUUUUUUUAAGGUUUUUUUUUAGUUGGGGUUUUCUUAGGGUUUGUUGUUGUUGUUGUUGCUGUUUUA